GUUUGUUUCCAGCUUCUGGCAAUCAGGAGAUUUGCAGCUAUUAAUAUAUGGAAUAUCAGGCAAGCUUGGGUUUUUGUGUGGGAUUCCAUCGAUAUGAACAGCAAGGCUGUCUCUGGGCUUAGCUUAAUGUCGAUGUGUAGCGCCUCAUUGAUUAUCUCCUCUACUCUUUUCCAGUGAUCUCUUAGAACCGAGCACUUCCACCAAAUGUGGAACAUCGUGCCCUCUUCUUUGGAGCAUCUCCAGCAAAGUUUUGAAGUGCCUGGGUAGAUGUUGGCCAAUCUGGAUGGCACCAGGUACCAUCGAUAUUGUAUCUUGCGCAUGAGCUCUAGAUGGGAAGCACACCUGGAUCUGCCCUUGUGAGCUAGGAAUGAUUUGUUCCAUUGUUUUUCUGAAAAUAGUGUGCCUAUUUCCCUAUGCCAUGCUUCUCUGAAGUUGUCUAACUGCGCUUGUUGACUGGCAUUGUUGAGUGUUGUGUAUAGGAGCGAAAGUGGUUUCUUUAGCAUGGUCAUGGCCGUGAACGCACUGUCUAUACUUUUUGUGUGUGUCGGGGUUGAUAGGGUGGUAUUAAGUGUCAGUAUGCCUUUCAAUUGUAAUUAUGAGAAUAUCAGUCUCUGCGGUAAGUCAUAUUCUGUUUGCAGGUCUGGGAACUGUUUCAGUUGGUUUUUGUCAUAUAGGUGUUUAACCAAUGUGCAUCCUUUUUCAUUCCAUGUGCGGUGGUCAAAAUUAGGGUAUGUCAGAUGUAUUCUAUAUAUUGGGGUGGCCAUCGUCCAGUCAGAAGUGUAUCCUAGCUGUGGUUUGGCUUUGUCCCAGGCCUUGAGCAGGGUGCCAGUUGUGAUGGGCAUCUCCGGGAGCAACUUGCGUCUCCCGUGCGGUACCCAGAAGAGGUAUUUAAGGCCUUUAGGGCACGCAAAUGUUGACUCCACCUCCACCCACUGUGGAGGGCUGUGUGCUGUAUGUGCCUGUAGAGCUGUGGCUAGUAAUGCUGCUUUAUGGUACAUUUGUACCUCUGGUAGUCCCAGCCCUCCCUGCGCCACUUGUUUAGUGAGGAUCUUCGUGGCUACUCGGAUUUUUUUGUGUGCCCAUAUGAAGCUGGUGAUGGUUUUUUGUAACCGUCGUAAGUAUGUCCUGAGUAAGUACUGGUAUUUAUGCAGUAGCAUCAUCUUUACCGCCGCCAGUCUUCCCACCCACGAUAAGUAUUUAUCUUCCCAUUUUUUUAGUGUGUUACUGAUUUCUCCCUGUAACCUCCCAUAGUUGAGGUCCAAGAGACCCUGUGGCUCUUUUGGGAUCCUCAGUACCAAGAACAUGAGGUAAUCGUCCCUCCAGUCUAGUGGGAAUGCGAGUUUUAUAUGGUCUAUAUCUCGUUGCGAUAUCCCUAUUCCCAUGGCUUGGGUUUUUGUGACAUUGAGCCUGUAGUAUGAUUGCUCGCCAUAUUUUCCUAUUUCCUGCAGGAGGUUCGGUAGCAAUAUGUGUGAUUGUGUGAGUGUUAGGAGUACGUCAUCGGCGAAUAGAUUCGCCUUAUAGAACUUUUUUCCUAUUUCUAUCCCGAGUAUCGCUGGGUUGUUCCGUAUCCUGAUCGCCAAUGGCUCUAACGCCAAGACGUUUAGGAGCGGGGACAGGGGGCACCCCUGUCUAGUGCCAUUCGAGAGGUGAAAUGGCUUGGAGAGAAACCCUGCGUUGAGUACCCUUGCCGACGGGGCGCUAUAAAGGGCCUUCACUACCGACACAAACCCUGUGGGGAUGUCAAACUUGCCUAAUACCUCCUGUAGGAAUCUCCAAUGUAGGUGGUCGAACGCUUUUUCGGCGUCUAGGGAGACUAACAGUCCCCCCUUUUGCCUACUCUUCAGAUGAUAGAGGAUGUUGAUGACCUUCCUCGUGUUAUCUGAACCCUGUCUUCCUUUGACAAAGCCCACCUGGUCAUUGUGGAUGAUAUGCGGUAGUAUGUUCCCCAGGCGGUUGGCGUAUAGUUUGGCGAAGAAUUUUGCAUCUGUGUUUAGGAGGGAUAUGGGUCGGAAGUUCUGUGGAACCGUUGGGGGUUUGUUCGGUUUGGGGAGUGUGACUAUGUGUGCGGCCAGCGUUUCUCUGGGGAGUUCCCCCUUUAAGGCUGCCUCUGUAAACAGUCUAGCCAGGUAAGGCGCUAGUAUGUCGCUAAAUUUUUUGUAAUCUUGGUUGUCAAAUCCGUCGGGCCCUGGGGAUUUCCCUGUUGGGAGGUUUUUAAUCAAGUCUCUGUUCUCCUGUUCCUCUAUCGGUUUAGUGAGAGCCUCUUUGUGUUGUGUUGAGAUCUUAGGUAGUGUCACCUCUUCUAGGUAGUUUUUAAUACUGAGGUUGGUGGGGUGUGUUGUUUGCGUGUCGUCUCGUAUGUUGUAUAGGGAGGAAUAGUAUGUGGCGAACACAUCGCUGAUUCCCUUAGGGGUGAAGACUUUGGACCCUGUCUGGUCUGUGAGGUAGGAUAUUUUUUGGUUUGCUUGUCUAGUUUUUAGUCGGUUUGCUAGUAGCUUGCUUGCCUUAUUGCCUUGCACAUAGUGGGUUAGUUUGAGCCUUUGCAUGUUAAAGUUGAGAGCUUCCAGUGCUUGUUGGUGUAUGAGUUUGGUGACCUGGGCUAUUUUCAGUUUUGUCUCUAGUGUCGGUGUGGUUUGGUUCAGUCUGUUCAACUCGUACAAUUCUGUCUGCCAGGCCCUAAGCUGUGUUUGUCGUUUUCUUUUUUACGUAUGAUGCUCUGCGUUUUAGUAGGCCUCUCGCUACCGUUUUGUGUGCAAGCCACAGAGUAGCAUCUGUGGUGUCAUUAGUGUCAUUUAGUUGGAAAUAUGUGCGGAGGUCUCCUGCCAAUGACUCUACGAAUCCCUCAUCCCUCACCAAUGAGUUGUUUAUUUUCCAGGGGCUACGAUUUUCCAGGGGUUACGAUGUAAUUGUUCUUUAGUUCUAUGGUUACGGGUGCGUGGUCGGACCAUGUAAUUUGCUUUAUUUCACUAGUUACGAUUUGGUCUAGUGUUGUACCUGACAUAAGGAAACCGUCUAUUUUGGAGUAAGAGUUGUGCACCGCCGAGUAGUGUGUGUAUGCUCUUUCUGUCGGGUGUGUGACUCUCCAAGCAUCCUAUAGGUGAUGCUCAUGCAGGAGUUUCGCUAUGGCUCUGCAUUGCCUAGUGAGGGGGCGAUGGUUUUUCCUUUGUGGUGAUAGGGUCGUGUCUAGCUGCGGGUCCAGUAUGUGGUUAAAGUCACCCCCUAUCACCGUAAUGCCCGUUUGGGCAGUGUUUGUUUUAUUUAGUAGUUUGUGUAGGACGUUUCUCUGGUUGGUAUUUGGGGAGUAUAUAUUUACAAUGGUUUAUAGCAUAUCGUUAAGUUUCCCUAUGAGGAUCAUGUACCUGCCAUUGGGGUCAAUAUCUGUGGAGUGGAGCAUAAACGAGACCGCUAUACUGAUUAGGAUAGACACUCCCCUAGUCUUUGUAGGAGAUGUGGCGUGGAAUUGGUGUGGGUAGUCAUUGGUCAGUAUUGUGGGGUAGUCAUUAUGCCUGAAAUACAUUUCUUGGAGGCAUAGUACAUCCGCUCCCAGGGUUCUAACCUCCCUGGCGAGCAGGUGCCUCUUUCACGGUGGUUUGUGGGGUUGGUGUUCUCUACCUAGUGUGGAGUAUUCUAUGGUUUGAGGGGUCACCGCUCUUCCCAGCUCAGACGUGCUGAACGGUGUUGCCCUCUGUGUGUUGGUUUGGUCUUUUUUUGUGACUGCGGGAUUGUCAUUGCAGCCAACCUCGCGGUCUCCAGGUUUUGUCAGUAUGUGAAUGGUGGUUGUCGUUGGGUUACCCACUAACCCUAUCUUGCGUUCAGUAGUAAGGUGUAGUACAUGUGGAAUAGGAACAUAACAUUUAACAAUAAACAUUAAUACAAUAAUAUAAACCAAAGUAUUUACAUAAACAUUCCUGAAUAAAUGUGUUGCCGUGGAUUCCGCUUGGCACUGUAUAGUCGUGCCUUGGGGGAAGAGGCGCAUGGCCACCCGUCCUAUGGGAGUUUUCUCCCUCUGCGGCUAUGUCUGGUGUCAGCGUUGGGAAGUCCCAACUAUGUGCUAAAGCCUUAUGGGUACCCUGGCUUUACGUGUGUCUACCUAUGUUAAUAUAUGUAUAAAAUGUUUGGUUUUUUUUUCCUCUGCAGGUGGGCUAGUUGAGUCAAUUUUGCCUCUCCUCAGAGAGUAGGGAGGGGGUAUAGGGCAGCUGUCUGCUGUGUUCCCUUGACCCUUGUGUAUUUCCCCCCCCCCCCAUCCCCGUGCUCUAUCUGGAGCACUUGUGAUGGUUCGUGAAUGCGAUGUAUGUUGUACUUUACCCAGCCCCGCAGUUGGAUUGUCCAUGGGUCUGGAUGCCCAGAAGAGUCUUCAUUAACAGUCUCUUUCCUUUUCUUUUAUCUUUUUUUCGCCUUUUUCCAUUCUUGUGUCGUUUUGGGUCUUCUGCCCUCUUGGUCCGUCGGUAGUGGGGUUGCUAUGUUUCAAUCUCUCAGGAGUGGUUGGCCUUCCUCCGGCGUUCCGAUGAUAGUAGUCUUCCCUUCUCUCAUUACUAGAAGCUUGGUGGGAUACCCCCAUCUGUAUGGGAGAUGGUUAUCUCUGAGACUCGUGGUCACCUCUCGGAAGUCCCGUCUCCUUUUCAAUGUGUAGGAGGAGAUGUCUGCAUAGAUCGUCGUUCCCUUGUAGGCCGGGGGCAUCUCUUUCUUUUUUCUGCUUGCGUUUAGGAUUGCUUCUUUGGCAUGGUAGUAGUGCAUCCUGAGCUGGAUGUCUCGUGGAGUGGUUGAUGGUAGAAAUUUUGGUUUAGCCGCUCUGUGGAUUCUAUCAAGUAGGAGCAAGUCGUGUGGUAAGUCAGGGGCCAGUUCUUUCAUUAGGCCUGUAAUGUGUGCGGAAAGGUCCUCGGGUUUCACCGUCUCCGCUACGCCCCUUAUCCGCAGAUUGUUGCGGCGUGCCUGGUCCUCCAUGUCAGCUAUUUUGAGGUCUUGGCUGUUUAAUCUUUCAACCAGACCUUCUACUGUGUCUGCUAGUGAGUUGUGGGCUUCUGCCAUUUCUGCCAUCUGGUCCUCAGCAUGUGAUGUGCGCUGGCCUAUGUCUUGUAUUUAUUUUCUCAGGUCUCUAAUGGCAAUGGGCAGCUUACCCGCUAUCUUGUGUGAAAUCUCCUCCAGCUGUGGGACAGUGGAUUUUCCUGUUCAUCGUUUUGGGCCUCCACUUCGAGUUCCCCGCCGGCGCCAUCUUGGGAGCACUCAGUCUGGAUUGAGGCUUUACCCUGCACUGUCCUUGUGGCGAAAAAGUUAUUUUUCUCCCCCUUCUCUCCUGCCCUUUUGCUCUUAGGCUGGGACAUCGUAGUUUCCGACUGUAUAUUGAAGCGUGCUUUCGGUUUUCAGGCUUUUAUUACUCCUUUAUAGUCGUCGCGGCACGGAGCUCUGUUUACAUGCGGCUGCUCCGGUCCGCAUCCAGGGCACGCCCCCAGUUUACGAAUUUUGAGCAGUGUGGGGGGGGGUGGGUGUCGAUGAGUGGCUCCUGGAAGCGUCUAUCGUCGGGUGUAAGGCGAUAUUGAAGUCCCCUCCCAGAACCAGACAGCCUGUCGUGAAGUCGUGCAGGGCCCGGAGUGUGUCCCGAAGGAAUUUAUCCUGUCGCGUGUUUGGGGCAUAGAUGUUGGCAAAGGUAUAGGUUUCGUCCAGGAUUUUACCCCUAACAAAUACAUAUCUGCCUGAGUUAUCCGUCAGCUACGAAGGGUAUGGAUUUGUGUAGGAGUAUUGCUGUCCCCUUAGAUUUCCCGUCCGGGUUAUUGCUGUAAAAGCCUUGGGUAUAUAUGUGGUUACAGAGUUUCGGAGCAGAGUCGGUUUUAAAGUGGGUUUCUUGGAGAUAGACCACAUGGGCUCUAGUUUUCUGGCAGAGGCGAAGUGCAUGUGACCUCUUUUCGGGGGAGUUUAAGCCCUUUGCGUUUAGGGAUAGGAAGUUGAGUGGGGCUGGUGCGUAUUUGGGUGCAGGUGUAGCCAUAUUGUCAAGUCCCCCGAGUGUCUGAGUCGCCCCAGUCUGUGGGGGCGGGUGAGGGCCCAGGUAGGUAGAGCCCGGUCCGGGGCAGGCAGGGCGGAGCGGGGUAGUGGGUAUCCCCGUGCGGCGGGGCACGGAGGGGACCGCCCCUGGAAUGGAGCAGAGGCAUCAAGCGUCAGGGGGGUAGAAAUCCCCCGGCCCGGAGACCGGAGCAGGGGACGACCCCCCCCCCUAUACAGAAGACACCGACCUCACGGGGAGUGAAAGGCGCCUUGUCAACCAGCCAACAGAGGUGGCUGUGGAUCACAACAAAACACUAACAGUUGUAACUCGAACCUGUGAUAUACUUCUGUUGCAUCUUCGGGGCGAGUCUCCCAAGGUAUGGUCGGGUUCCAGCCGGAACUAUGACCUCUUGGUGAUACCUUUGUGUGUCUGCGGGAACUCACCCCCGGGUCCCAACGCUGUCUAGUCUGAGGGGAAGGUGUACGAGCCGACCCAGGGCUUAACCCCCUGACUACAGCUCAUAUGUCUAGGAUACUGAUAGACCCCCCUGUGGCGUACUAAGGGGGGGGCGAGGGGGGUGGUCCGCCCCGGGUGCCACCAGGGUGGGGGGUGCCAUGGCCAGCCCCGCCGCCCCCCCCCCCAUGCUGCAGCCACCCGAGUGCUCUGUAGAGAGCCUCAGGCGGCUGCAGCUUUGCCCGGGCGGUNNNNNNNNNNNNNNNNNNNNNNNNNNNNNNNNNNNNNNNNNNNNNNNNNNNNNNNNNNNNNNNNNNNNNNNNNNNNNNNNNNNNNNNNNNNNNNNNNNNNGAAAGAGAAAUUAGGAGGGGGGAGAGAAAUUAGGAGGAGGGGGGGAGAAAGAGAAAUUGGGAGGAGGGGGGGAGAAAGAGAAAUUGGGAGGAGGAGAAGGAAAUUGGAGCGGGAGGAGAGAUUGACAUUCAUCACAUACACACAAUGCACCCCUUGCACACAGAAAAACACACAAUACAUUACACACACAGACACACAUACACAAGCAAUGCAACCGUUACACACAAUGCAUCCCUUACACACACAGAAACACACAAUGCAUUCAUUACACACACUCAAUGCACCCCUUACACACAUUCAAUGCAUCCCAUACAUACACAGAAACACACCUUGCAGUCCUUACACAUACAAACACAAUUUCACACAAUGCAUUCCUUACACACAUAUCAGGACAUCCCUUACACACUCCACCCCCUGUGAACAAACUCAUUGGUGGAACAUGAAGGUGGACCCUGGGACCCAGACCUUGAGCUGUGUAAAGGACCCCCAAAAAAUGGAGCUGCUUCCCGUUCUCCCAGAACAUUGAUUUUUGUGACCACAGUUACAAACCGCCUCCAGAGAGCCUGUUCUGCACCAGACCAGUGGAGCCAGACUGCAGCUAGAGCCCAUCAUCAUCCUUAUCUGGUUGUAAGUAGGCAAUCUAGUAUAUUAUUCGUGGCACUAAGCUCUAAUUUACCUCACAUUAAAGAAACACUAUAGUCCCCAGAACCACUUCAGCUUAAUGUAGUGGUUCUGGUGUCUAUAGCCUGUCCCUGCAGGCCUUUUAAUGUAAACAUGGCGGCACUGCAGCACUGGCGUUAGUUAACAUGGCAAAUCAUAUGGGUGGGGCAUUGUGAUGUCACAUGGGGGGGGCGGCAAACUUUACUGGGGCUGACAGCGGUUUUGCAAAGUUUACAAAUUGUAAAAAAAAAGAAAGAAAACCUUUUUUUUGGGUGGGGGGGGGCGCGGAGUGCCGAGCACAGGAUCCGACCCGGGUGCCAAAUGCUCUAGGUACGCCCCUGGACCCCCCCACUCAGCCUCCCCCCAACCCCUUCCCCCGCGUGCACCAGUGUGGCCCCGUGGUGCCGUUCCUCCCUCCCUGAAAGCGGUAUGGAGGGCCCGUGUCCUCCCUGAGGGCAUCCCAAUUAACGGACUCCCUACUGGGUUCCCCCAUCUGUGUGCUGGUGGGUGGUGUUGCUCUGGGGUCAGCCCGUCUCUGGUCUUUGUGUGCGGGUGGUUAUGCAAUUUUAUAUACAAAGCUGUACCCCAGUGUAGCCUAUUCUGGCACCUAUCCAGUGUUGCAUACGAACCAAUAGACAUUUUGAACUUGCGCAAGUGCAUAACUCGUGGUAUAAAUAGUAGACAAGUUUAGCAUGUGUAGGAGCAUAUACCAUGUGUAUAUAGGGUGAUAUACGAACCAAGAGGCAAUGUUAGCGGGCGCAGGCAUAUAUCCACAGUGGUACAGUAGGCAAUUCUAGCGUAAGCAGGCGUAUACCCCAUAUUAUACAGAGAUAAAGCAAGUAAAGAUAAUAAGGGAGCAAGUCCAGAAGGAAUCCUACAAAUAAAGGGACCAGAUAAUGGCUCCAAAGAAAUACCAUGUUAUAUACAAUGCAAUGGACAAUUUGAGCAUGCGCGGGCGUGUAUGCAUGGUUACAUACCGACCAAGAAGCAAUUUAAGCAUGCGCAGGCACGUAUACAACGGUCAAUGCAAUGCAGUAGGCAAUUUAAGCAUGUGUGGGUGCCCAUAUUAUAUGCCCUGCAGUGGGCAGUUUUAGUAUGUGCGAGCACAUAUGCAGUGGUUUGUAGCGUAAAGGGUUGUAACCUGUGCGUGCGGGUAUGCGCGUGAUAUACCAUGCCGUAAAUAAUUUUAGCAUGCGCUGGCACAUAUGCGAGUUAAAUACAAUGCAGUGGGCCAUUUCAGCAUGUGCAGGCGCGUGUGACACACGAGGCCCAGCGCAGUAGGUGCCAACAGUCCCUUGGGUCACGGCCCCUAACCCACCCAACCCCAGCGGGGUAGACAGGGCCCUUAUGUCCAUGGUGAAGCUUCUGAGCGGGAUGGCUGUAGGUGGAGUAUGGCUCGGCAACUGUUCACUCAGCCCGGCAAGGGGUGCCGUUCUGAGGGGUGGAGGGGCAGAGUGCCAAUAUGGGGUGUCCAAUCGAUAGGUUGGCCAAGUUUGUACCUGGAUACAGUGUCCAAGUCCUGUAGCGGGACUGUGUGUGCCCCAGAGAGGACCAGGCUGGUGCGGGGCAUAGCGUGGGGGAAGAGGGGGGAAAGUCAUGCCCUCUAGCGGGCGGUACCUGUUGGCCUAGUGGCCUCCUGGCGUCCCCAUCGAGUGCGUUGCGGCAGCGCCAGUCUCGGAUAGGGGUUUCUUGCGGUGGUAUAUAUGUCUAAUGGGUCAGGCCAUCUCAUGUUGAUGGUGGGCAGUUGGAGCUCGGUGCCCAGGGCUAUGUAGUCGCUGUGUGUGCGGACCAGGAAUGGACCUUUCGGCGUGUGGACAAGCAGUCCCGUGGGCAUCUGCCAUCUGUACCGGAUCUGUUGAGCCACCAGUACCCUCGUGUGUGGUUUCAGAGCGCAUCGGUAGGUCAGAGUAGCCGGCGAUAAAUCUGGAAAGAGUUGCAAGUCUUGGUUCCGGUAGGUGAGCGUUUGCUGGCCUCGUGCUUGUUUAAGGAUGGUCUCCUUUAGGGCAAAAUUCGCCAGGCAGCAAAUGACAUCCCUGGGUGGGCUAUCUGGCGUGCCCUUAGGACGGAGGACUCUAUGAGCUCUAACAAAGUCUAUAGGUGCCUGGUGGUCACGGCGUAGGAUCCCAUUGAAUAUUUCCAGGAGGAUUUCCUGUAGCUGUUGGGGGGAGUCCUCAGUUUCAGGGAGGCCGCGCAGCCUUAAGUUAUUGCGGUGCCCCCUGUUAUCCAAGUCCUCAAUAUGCAGGGCCAUGCCACGUACCUGUUCUGAGGAGGUUUCUGCAGCCUCUCAGACUGUCACAGGCUGCCUCCACGUGGCUCACCCGGUCUGUCAGGCCCUGCAGGUCAGCCCUCAGCGCCUGGCUGUCCUGCCUUAUUGUGGCUCCCAGUUCUGAGGUGGCCGAGCGGAGGUCUCCCUUUGUGGGCAGAGCCCUCAGGAGGUCCAACCACGGGGGUCUUUCCGAGCCUCCCGUGUGCAGGUCGCAUGCCGGCGAUGAGGACGUGGAAUCUUCCGACACCAUUAAUCCGUCGGCACCAUGCGGCUGGGUCGCGAGGUCCGCGGGGGUCACCAGGAACUGGCGGAGGGACGAGGUGAGCUGUCCCUUUUUGGGCUCUGGGGUCUUCCCAGUCUGUGGGGCUCUGUUUGACCUCCCCAUGUCAGCAGAGUAGAGGGUGGUUUUGUGCUGGUGAGUCGGGACCCGGGUGGAGGGAGAGAUUAUGCGGCCAUUUUCGUAGGCUGCCAAGCCACGCCCCCGAGAUAUGAGUUUUAAUUAGGUCAGCCAAUCCAAUGCUCUAUAGGAAAGCAUUGGGAAGCUAUUGCACAUGCACGGCAUAACGCCGCCCUGUGCCAAUUAGCAUCUCCUCAUAGAGAUGCAUUAAAUCAAUGUAUCUCUAAGAGGAACGUUCAGAGCUUCCAUGCAGGGCGUGGAGAUGCUGAACACCAGUGCAGCACUGACACAGUUUAAUGUAGCACCUCUAAUGGCCAUCUGAGUGACUGCCUCUAGAAGUGUUACUAGGCAGCAAUGUAAACACUUUCAUGCACCCAUUGUACCUUUUUAUCUCUGUAAAAUCCAAAGCUUUAUGCAGCCUAAAAAAAUAUGGCCCAUAAAAUGGACAUUAUAUAUUUGUUUCAGUCAGGAUUUUUGUUUAUAUAAUGUCUGUUUAUAUUAAGAUUGUACCAAGCUUGUAAUACAUAUAUUUCUGAUAUAUAAUUGUUUGGGGGAUUUUUUUUUUAGCAUUAAACUUCAUAAAGUCAGGGAAGAUUUAGUACCACAAUAGCUGGAAAGUUACCUCUUCAGCAGUUCUGCAAUUAGAUAUAUGAGUGAUUUUUUGACUGGGGACACAGGCAUGUUAAAAUAUAAUAAUAUAUAGUGCUUCAUUAACGGUGCAGCAAUAUGAUAAAUGGAUAUUAUGUAUUAGUUUCCUAAACUUAAAUGUAUAAACAUGAAUGCCUGUAACUGAUCCACUUUGUCCAUUGCACAACACUCCAGAAUAUGUUGGCAUUCCGGAUAUAAAAAUAAAUAGAUAACUGUUUGAUUAAAACCUGUCUCUGUUGUGACAGACGUGUCAUGCUGGCUCUGAAAGCAUACGGUGUCAUCACUGGCCUGUCACCCUCACCUCUACGAGAAGCUGUAAACCCAGCUGCCUCUAACAAAAUCUUCCAAAAACUUUUCCCCAAUAAACCAGAAUUUCAGGUUCACACAUAACACACUGUAUGUUGAUAACAUGUUACAGAAUGCCAAUAGAAAUUGUAAAGUAAUGGGCUUUAGAAACUGGUCUGGACAGCCGUACUCUAAGAAGAAUCAUAUCUUGUCCUCCGUGUUUAUGUUUUUUGCAGUCGUGGCUGUUUCAUUCUUACCUGCAAAGAGUAUCAGACCAAUCACUAGAAAGGUGGCCAACUGUCAGUCUACAUUGCACAGUGCAACAGAACAUGCUGUCACUUUAAAUAGAAUCUAGAAUUCAAUUUUGCUUCAAUAAACCGAACAAGUGGAACUAACCAUCUCAUAGAUCUGUUUCCGAGUCCAAAGAGUAAAUGAUCUGAGUUUUUACAUGUUAAGGUUCUGCCUCUUUUGGCAUGAGUACAAAUUUCUGAACACCAAGGUCAUUCCCAGCAUUUUUUAAAACUUGCUCAAAACCCGUUGAUCAGAAAAAACUUUUUUUUUAAAAUGUAAGCAGCUAGACAUCAGUUCGUGCUUGUGUUCAAGAGCUUACAAUCUAAUCACUUGUCCAGGACACCUUAAGGUUAGAGCAUUUCACAAGGUCAGUUGGAGGGUACACUGAAGUACAAUUCCUCACGGCACACUAAAGUGAGUGCCUAAAAUCUAGUACAAACGGAUUACAUAUUAUAUGCUUAUAAAUUAUGCACUUGUUAUAUCUGUGUGACCAGCCAGGAGAGGGCCUGGUCAUUCACCAACAAAUCCAAAGAUGCACACGGGCUUGGCAGUUAACACGAAGAUCAUUGCAAUCAUUUACUGUAGUGUCACGUAAGGCAAAUAUUGGAGGUGCUCUACAUGUCAAUGACCAGUGUAAUUGCUAGUAUCAACUUUAUAGCGCACACUAUUCACACUGAUAUAUUUACAUGCAGCUCAGCAAUACACAACUGUAAAGGAGAAUUGUUCUGUCGGCAUGUACUGUAUUGAUGCAGAAUAAUAGAUAGUAUUAAUUAAGAUAUGUGACUGGUGCAGUCAAUAAUAAAAACAUAAAAAUAAUAGCAAGACUGACAUUACGGCUUUUGAAGUUCAGUCAACCUAUCCAGUUUGUCCAUGUAGAAAGCACAGGCUCUAUUUGCCAUUUGUUGACAGUGGUUCCUCCGUCACAAGGAUUGUUGACUUAUCCUUCAUUUGUUGAUGUCGAUUUCUCACCCUCCAACCACAUCUUGUUACCUUCUUUCUAUAAACAGUGAUCCUAACUCAUGGGAAAUUCUUUGAAAUCAUUUAACGUUUGCAUAGUGUCACCACCUAUCACAUCUCUGCUCCAAUCUCUAUAUCUUUAUGACUUUUUGUAUUACUUGGUUUAUAUUAUUACUAUACAGACUUGGCACUGAUUUCCCAGCUUGGAUUAUGUCUUACUGAAAACAAAAACAAGGUAUUUAGAACCGGAUACAAUAUUUUUGGUGAGGACAUGGUGGGACAGUCCUAAUUGUGGACUUCUGUCCUGCCCUACCAGGUUUGUUCUUAGGUGUCCCACAUCUACGAUAAGUGCUAAUAUUGCACACAAAUAACACAAAAUGUGAUUGUCUGCCUGUACAGUUGUCCUUCAGAAAAGCUUUACACAUGAACAAUCCCGAGUUAGCCUAGCGCACAUGCACACCAGGCUGACAUACCGCAUUUUGAGGAGGGCCCAUCCUUACAACAUACCUAACAUACAUUCUAUUAACCCUUUCCUGUCCUGGUAGCAUACCUCUCUAUUUUAGGAAAAACCUACGAAAUAAGCUGUUAGUAUAUAUGCCGACAUGCUCUGCUGGCUUGUUAACUGCUGUCUCUUUUUGCGUGGCCAGACAAAAUGUACAAUGGGAGAUAAAGUCGAAAAGGAGUUAAACUGAAGUUUUUGUGCAGCCCUAGACAAACUUUUAUUGUAAAAAAAAACAUACAUAUGCAUGGAACACUGUAUAUAUAUAUAUAAACAAUAAAGGUGCACUCCUGGAUUUAAAAAUUAUAACUUGAUUUAUUGUGCAAAAAAGAUCAGAUGAUCGACGUUUCGCCCUCUAAAAGAUCUUCCACAAUUAAGAGGCCUGGUCUCUUGCAGACUGGUGAUUAGAACAAACACAUAACACACUGUAUGUUGAUAACAUGUUACAGAAUGCCAAUGGCAUUAGACCUGUGAGACACCACACCCACACAUGGUGCAGAAGCUUUGCUGCUGGCUGAUCAGCAGAAGACCACAUAGUAGGGGAGGAGGUCAAUGGUCAAGGAUGACAUGUUAGUGGGCUGCCACAUUUAUUUUGUGGCUUCCAAAACACAUAAUCAUUCGCUGCAUACUCGCCUGUCUAGAGUCAUGUGUCCACUUUGCGACCCUGUCCGGAAUGAGAAAUUGACCUUGUGACGAACCGCCUGGCACCUCGACCAGGUGCCUCCGCCAAUUGAUGCUCCUAGUGCUCACCAAGUACUCCAAGCACUCCACUAGACACCAUCAGCACCAUAGACCCCACAAACCGCAGAAGCUUGGUUGGGCUCUCGCCGUCCUCCACCCACCCUGGACCCAAGACCAGGAUCCAGCUUCCAGUCGAUGAACCUCUCCUACUCCAGAGAGUAUAGCAGGAACAGCUCUUGUAAGAGUUAGUGAUUAGAACCAAGGGGAGUAUAAUGAGUAUAGCAAUCCCCAGAGUGAAUAUAGCUGUCCCCUUCACACAUGAGACAAGGCUCUAUGUUGAGGGUGAAGAGGAAGGCAUUUUAAUGGUAGCCACACUGGCCUUUUAUGAAAUUCUCCAUGCAAGGGACAUUCUCGCAUUGGACCUUGUGGGGAACUACAAUACAAAAUUAUAUAUCAAUAACAACAGGGUUACAAGACACAACACACACAACAUACAAUCCCCUGGGGGGAUUGAAUUUUAAUUAUUUUUUUUUUUAAUUUGAGUGUAGGUGUGUGUGUGUCUGUUAGUGUGUGUCUGCAAGUAUGUGUGUCUGUAAGUGUGUGUGUGUGUGUGUCUGUUAGUGAAUGUGUUAGUAUGUGUGUGUCUGUUAGUAAGUGUUUUAGUGUGUGUCUGUUAGAGAGUGUGUCUGUUAGUGAGUGUGCUAGUGUGUGUGUGUUAGUAUGUGUGUCUGUUAGUGUGUAUGCAUGUCUAUUAGUGAGUGUGUGUCUGUUAGUGACUGUGUAUGUCUGUUAGUAAGUGUGUGUCUGUUAGUGAGAGUGUGUGUUUCUGUUAGUGUGUGUCUGUUUGUGAGUGUGUUACUAUGUGUGUGUCUGUCUGUUUGUGAGUGUGUUAGUAUGUGUGUCUGUUAGUGAGUGUGUAUGCAUGUCUGUUAGUGGCAGUGUAUGCAUGUCUGUUAGUGACUGUGUGUCUGUUAGUGACUGUGUGUCUGUUAGUACCUGUAUGUGUCUGUUAGUGAGUGUCUGUUAGUGAGAGUGUGUGUGUCUUUUAGUGAGUGUGUAUGUUGUCUGUUAGUGAGUGUGUAUCUGUGUCUGUCAGUGAGUGUGUAUGUCUGUUAGUGUGUGUAUGUAUGUCUGUCAGUGAAUGUGUGUGUCUGACACUGAGUGUAUAUGUGUCUGUCAGUGUGUAUUUAGAAGGCAGGGUGGGGGGAUGGGCUGCCUGAGUUUUGUCAUGACAACACCAGGAUACACUACUGGUUCCAUGCCUAAAACACAGGGGGCAUAGUCACAGGGUAAGAGGCUGGCAAACAGGCUCCUCCAAAAGCCAGUGGCGAGGUUACUUUCGCCACAGACAUCUUUAUCAUAGCUUGUAAACUACCCAUCGAGGGUCCUGGUUUGUUUCAGACAUGCCUGUUCUAAUAUUUACGAAUACAGUUACCAAUUGUCAAUAUUCUCACUCAUUCAGCAAAUUUGUAAUGUUUUCAUUUCCUUAUGUUGCCAUCUAUCUCUAAAUUUACAACUGAAAAAUAUUGUUGAGAAGGCUUAGCUUUACAUAUUCAUUAUCAUAAUUUACCACUCUGCAUCGUAUAUUUUUUUCAUUCAACUAAGAUGAAGUAAAGAUUUUGAGGACCACCUAGCCUGGGUUACCUAACUAAGUGUAUUAUGCACCAUUCUAUACCUUUGGUCUAUAUUGAGGGUAUAUUUUCCAUUUCUGGCCUAUGUCUGGAGGAGAGCACAGACACAUCCCUACCUCAUUCUAUAUAUGAAGAUUAUCAGUUCUUAAUCCAUUGUGUUCUGCCCAUCUCGUUAGGGCCCAGAGAGUUGCAUGCUUAAUUUCAACUGCCUUUACUUGUUCCCUGACGUUUCUCCUGUACAAUAAAACUUCAAGUUUUGUUCACUUGUUAUCUGCCUUAAUUAUUGUUCUAACACAAUAUGUAGAAGUUUUAUUUAAGUGGGGAUAAUUUCACUAUUUUUGACUUAUCAUACUGAUUUUUCACUAUUACCACACAUUCAAAUAAUGUUUAGCAAUACGUGGAGCUUUUAGAUUUAAUUUGCAUACAUUUCGCCUAUGGUUGAAACCUAUUUAACAUUGACUUUGAAGCUAACAUAUUAUUCUUUAAAAAAAACAAAAAACAAUGUAAGCAUGUAAGCUCAUUGAGCAGGGCCCUCAACCCCUUUGUUCUUGUGCAUCCAACUCAUCUGAUUACAAAUAUAUGUUUGUUGGUCCACCCAUUGUACAGCGCUGCGGAAUUUGUUGGCACUUUAUAAAUACUAAUAAUAAAGCAAAUACAAGUCAGACGUGAGUAAGCUUAGAUCUAACCCUUUAGGGGACCAGUCAUUACAAACCAUCACCUAUCAGUCUCUAUUCAGUCACUGUUACCAAUUUCUGCAGUCGCAACAAGGUCUGUUGUUUGGCCUGGACACUUGUCACAUACUGCACAGCUGCCCUGAAAUGACCAUUCAGUAAACACGUUGCUUGGCAGGUCACUACAUUCCGUGUCUGGAAAGCUGUGCAUUCUCUGUCAAAACAAUGUCAGUCCUGGUUCUGAUUCUCCUAGCCAUCUGGGUGGUCUUGUGGAUUUAUUUUUUUCCGGUUUUGUUUUUCUGGUUAAUUAACCAUAAACACUGCUGUUCCUUUAGAUAAGUGUAACUACCAUUGCCAGUUCAUCCCCAUUGCCAUUCAUGGCCUCUUUCUAUUUACUGUUUUAGAAUACUACGAAAACGGAGGAUUGAUGGAAACAAAAACAAGACCAUAAGAGGAUCCAUCUGACUGUGCAACUUCCUUUUUAACCCCCUUCUGGACGAUGGGCAGGCAAAUCGCUACAGGCCUCACACAUUAUUGCUUUCAGACCAUAUCCAAUGUUUUAUCCCUGAUCUACCUCUCAGGUUUUGCAUUCUUUACGAUUUAAAUGAAAUAGUCUUACCAUCUAUCCCUAUUCUUUGUAUCUGCCCCCCAUUCAUUGUAUGUAAAUAGGAGCACAAUAGAUAACAUUUGCUGAAUGAAAGGGGUUAUUAUUAUUUUUAGAUACAAGGCCAGAAAGUACUAGUUCUUUAUAGCCCAAUGAACAACCGAUUUAUUAAAUAUGAAUUCACACUAGAAGAUCUCGCUUCCUCUCUUUUAUACUGUUAGGUCAUGCAGAUUUAUGAAAAAGCUCAGAUCUACUUCCUUAUAAAUUUCUAUGGUUAACAAAUAUUAUCCUUAUGCCAAGUUGCCAACUCAUCUG
rnacentral:lncRNA from 1 species